rnacentral:rRNA from 1 species
GACGAACGCUGGCGGCGUGCUUAACACAUGCAAGUCGAACGGAAAGGCCCUGCUUUUGUGGGGUGCUCGAGUGGCGAACGGGUGAGUAACACGUGAGUAACCUGCCCUUGACUUUGGGAUAACUUCAGGAAACUGGGGCUAAUACCGGAUAGGAGCUCCUGCUGCAUGGUGGGGGUUGGAAAGUUUCGGCGGUUGGGGGAUGGACGCGCGGCUUAUCAGCUUGUUGGUGGGGUAGUGGCUUACCAAGGCUUUGACGGGUAGCCGGCCUGAGAGGGUGACCGGCCACAUUGGGACUGAGAUACGGCCCAGACUCCUACGGGAGGCAGCAGUGGGGAAUAUUGCACAAUGGGCGGAAGCCUGAUGCAGCAACGCCGCGUGCGGGAUGACGGCCUUCGGGUUGUAAACCGCUUUCGCCUGUGACGAAGCGUGAGUGACGGUAAUGGGUAAAGAAGCACCGGCUAACUACGUG